rnacentral:rRNA from 1 species
UACGGAGGGAGCUAGCGUUGUUCGGAAUUACUGGGCGUAAAGCGCACGUAGGCGGCUUUGUAAGUUAGAGGUGAAAGCCCGGGGCUCAACUCCGGAACUGCCUUUAAGACUGCAUCGCUUGAAUCCGGGAGAGGUGAGUGGAAUUCCGAGUGUAGAGGUGAAAUUCGUAGAUAUUCGGAAGAACACCAGUGGCGAAGGCGGCUCACUGGACCGGUAUUGACGCUGAGGUGCGAAAGCGUGGGGGAGCGAACAGG